UUUUGGUGUCAUAUGCUUGUCUCAAAGAUUAAGCCAUGCAUGUCUAAGUAUAAGCAAUCUAUACAGUGAAACUGCGAAUGGCUCAUUAAAUCAGUUAUCGUUUAUUUGAUAGUACCUUACUACUUGGAUAACCGUGGUAAUUCUAGAGCUAAUACAUGCUAAAAACCCCGACUUCGGAAGGGGUGUAUUUAUUAGAUAAAAAACCAAUGCUCUUCGGGGCUCCUUGGUGAUUCAUAAUAACUUAACGAAUCGCAUGGCCUUGUGCCGGCGAUGGUUCAUUCAAAUUUCUGCCCUACAACUUUCGAUGGUAGGAUAGUGGCCUACCAUGGUUUCAACGGGUAACGGGGAAAAAA
rnacentral:rRNA from 2 species